rnacentral:rRNA from 1 species
UACGGGGGGGGCAAGCGUUGUUCGGAAUUACUGGGCGUAAAGGGUUCGUAGGUGGCCGGCUAAGUCAGACGUGAAAUCCCCAGGCUCAACCUGGGAACUGCGUCUGAUACUGGAUGGCUUGAAUCCGGGAGAGGGAUGCAGAAUUCCAGGUGUAGCGGUGAAAUGCGUAGAUAUCUGGAGGAACACCGGUGGCGAAGGCGGCAUCCUGGACCGAGAUUGACGCUGAGGCGCGAAAGCUAGGGGAGCAAACGGG